CCUACGGGAGGCUGCAGUGAGGAAUAUUGGUCAAUGGACGAGAGUCUGAACCAGCCAAGUAGCGUGAAGGAUGACUGCCCUAUGGGUUGUAAACUUCUUUUAUAUGGGAAUAAACUGUUCCACGUGUGGGAUUUUGUAUGUACCCUAUGAAUAAGGAUCGGCUAACUCCGUGCCAGCAGCCGCGGUAAUACGGAGGAUCCGAGCGUUAUCCGGAUUUAUUGGGUUUAAAGGGAGCGUAGGUGGAUUGUUAAGUCAGUUGUGAAAGUUUGCGGCUCAACCGUAAAAUUGCAGUUGAAACUGGCAGUCUUGAGUACAGUAGAGGUGGGCGGAAUUCGUGGUGUAGCGGUGAAAUGCUGAGAUAUCACGAAGAACUCCGAUUGCGAAGGCAGUUCACUGGACUGCAACUGACACUGAGGCUCGAAAGUGUGGGUAUCAAACAGGAUUAGAUACCCCUGUAGUC
rnacentral:rRNA from 1 species